ACGCACGCUGGCGGCGUGCUUAACACCUGCAAGUCGAACGCUGAACCCGGAGCUUGCUCUGGGGGAUUAGUGGCGAACGGGUGAGUAACACGUGAGUAACCUGCCCUGGACUCUGGGAUAAGCGUUGGAAACGACGUCUAAUACCGGAUAGGACCUUGGAUCGCAUGAUCUGGGGUGGAAAGUUUUUUCGGUCUGGGAUGGACUCGCGGCCUAUCAGCUUGUUGGUGAGGUAAUGGCUCACCAAGGCGUCGACGGGUAGCCGGCCUGAGAGGGGGACCGGCCACACUGGGACUGAGACACGGCCCAGACUCCUACGGGAGGCAGCAGUGGGGAAUAUUGCACAAUGGGCGAAAGCCUGAUGCAGCAACGCCGCGUGCGGGAUGACGGCCUUCGGGUUGUAAACCGCUUUUAGUAGGGAAGAAGGGCUUCGGCUUGACGGUACCUGCAGAAAAAGGACCGGCUAACUACGUG
rnacentral:rRNA from 1 species